rnacentral:misc_RNA from 1 species
AAGACUUUCCCAUUAAGCAAAAUCACAACUUCCAUUUUUUUCUUCAAUUGACUUAUAUACACAUCACAGUAGUUCCACCGUUUAACAAUGGCAGCACCGUCGUCAAUGACGGCGAAAACAGCCAACGUCAUGCUAACAAUCCCGGAGAAGAAAACUGUAUCUCUAGAUCUCUACCGUCCACUCAGAAACUACAUAGUCUACAAUUACUCUGAACGCGAAGCUCAAAAUCUCGAAGAUGAUCUUCAAACGCUUAAGCAAUUCCGUUCCGAUAUCGAACGUGGCCCUAAUGAGUCAUCUCUUCCUGCUCGCCGUGAUCUUUUGCAGAAUUACUAUAAAGCCCUUUGUGCUGUUGAGUCUCGUUUCCCUAUUUCACCUGAUCAUGACCAUAUUAAUUCUGUUACAUUUACUUGGUAUGAUGCUUUCAAGAACAAGCUCAAAGCUGCUCAGCAGAACAUCUAUUUAGAAAAAGCUGCAGUUUUGUUCAAUCUGGGGGCAGUUCACAGUCAGAUGGGAUUGGGUUUUGAUCGUUCAUCAGUUGAGGGGAGAAGACAAGGAUCACAUUCUUUUAUUGCUGCUGCUGGGGCAUUUGCCUUUUUGAGAGACAAUGUGGCAAUGAAAGCAUCAAUGGGUAGCUCCAACACUGUUGAUGUCUCUGUCGAAUGUGCUGGGAUGCUGGAAAGACUCAUGUUGGCUCAGGCUCAGGAGUGUGUUUUUGAGAAUAGCAUUGCCAAGGGAAAUACUCCUGGUGUCUGUGCAAAGAUUUCAAGACAGGUUGGAUUGUUUUAUGAGGAAGCUUUGGCAGCAUUAAAUGUUGCACCUCUGAACCAGCACUUUGACAAGGCUUGGCUAGCUCAUGUUCAGCUUAAGGCAUCACUGUUUUAUGCUGAGGCCUGCUACAGGUACAGUCUAGAGCUCCAUGACAAAGAAGAAAUAGCAGAGGAA